GAUGAAGAACGUAGCGAAAUGCGAUACUUGGUGUGAAUUGCAGAAUCCUGUGAACCAUCGAGUCUUUGAACGCAAGUUGCGCCUCAAGCCAUUAGGUUGAGGGCACGUCUGCCUGGGCGUCACAUAUCGUUGCCUGAUGCCAGUUUCCUCGUGAUGGGUGACUGUGCAGGGCGAAUGAUGGCUUCCCGUGAGCAUUGUUGUCUCAUGGUUGGUUUAAAAUUGAGUCCUUGGUAGGGAGCGCCGUGAUAGAUGGUGGUUGAGUGACGAACGAGACCCAAUCAUGUGAGACCCCUACCGAAUUUGGCCUUCAUGACCCACAUGCGUCUUUGGAACGCUCAUGACGAGACCUCAGGUCAGGCGGGGCUACCCGCUGAGUUUAAGCAUAUCAAUAAGCGGAGGA
rnacentral:misc_RNA from 1 species